UCCUUGCCUUCUCACAGUACACUCUCUGCUCUCCCUUGCUCUUCUCAUCUUCCGUUCUGGUUCAUGGCUAGAACAUCUCCAAGAGGAGGUCGGUCGGGGGAUCCGACCGACGACCCUCGGUCGACCCCGGAGGUGGAGGCCUCUUCACUUUCGAGGCCGAACGUCGAUCGGCUCCAGGAGCAAUAUUGCAUCCUGGAGCAAUUUCGGUUGUUCGCCCCUGGUGCCAAUGGUCGGGUCAAUAGCCCGCC
rnacentral:lncRNA from 1 species